rnacentral:lncRNA from 1 species
CAGGCCUUCCAGAAGGGCAACUGAGGGGCUCCCUGAUCCCUUUCUCUCCUCUGUCUUACCUCUUUCAGACCUGGUUGAGAAGCUACAUUAAGCUGUUCCAGGCCCCGUGCCAGCGCUGUGGGAAGUUUCUACAAGAUGGCCUGCCCCCAACAUGGAGAGACUUCCGAACUCUGGAAGCUUUCCAUGACACCUGCCGGCAGUGACCCCAGCCCCGCCACUGGGCAGCGCCAGCACCUUUCCAGACCAGCCUGACCCAUUCACCACGUAGGUGUUUGUCGCUGAUCUCCCUGGCAGAACUGUCACCCCCAUUGGUGCAGCAUGGGAGGGUGGUCUGCCCCUUCCCUGUGUGCUGGCCCCUGGGUCUUGCUUCCAUGAGCUGUUACUGGAAUGAGCCCUUUCUUCUUAUGUUGGCUAUGCUUGGUUGGUUUUUGUAACUUAUUUUUGUAAACAAUAAAGCUUUUGUACGCUG